AAAAGCGGCAAAAAGAUUCCAACCACUCUACAGUGUUGGUGUUUCAUUCCAUCGCUAGCAGUCUCCCAAGUGAGCCAGGCUGGUGAGCCAGGCAGAACUCUGGACUGGAGUGAAGAAAUCCUGAGGCAGGAGCUGCUUGAUCUGCAAGCGACGAGGCCACUGUGGCCAGAGAGGGCGAAAACAAGGUCCUCAGGGCUUUGGAGAAAGGAGAAGAAAACCAAAGCAUUUGGAGCAUCAGUGUGGCUGGACCAAGCUUCUCAUAGCCUCCAGGGAAGGCCCACUGCUUGCGGGGAAGUCCCGCUCAGAGACAUGCACUGAGCCAGCUCGCCAGGUUCUUCUGUCCAUGGGAUAGUCCAGACAAGAAUACUGGAGUGGAUUGCCGUGCCCUCCUCCAGGAGAUCUUCCUGACACGGGGAUCGAAGCCACUUCGUUUAUGUCUCCUACACUGGCAGACAUAGCUCUAAGAAGAGAAUAAUGUGGAAGAAUAUUUGAA
ensembl:lncRNA